UACGUAGGGCGCUAGCGUUGUCCGGAAUCAUUGGGCGUAAAGAGCGUGUAGGCGGCCCGGUAAGUCCGCUGUGAAAGUCGGGGGCUCAACCCUCGAAUGCCGGUGGAUACUGUCGGGCUAGAGUGCGGAAGAGGCGAGUGGAAUUCCUGGUGUAGCGGUGAAAUGCGCAGAUAUCAGGAGGAACACCGAUUGCGAAGGCAGCUCGCUGGGACGUAACUGACGCUGAGACGCGAAAGCGUGGGGAGCAAACAGG
rnacentral:rRNA from 1 species